AUCCGUUCUGAAUUGCAAGUUAUUUUGAUCCAGUGUAGAAACUGUCGACGAAUCGACGAAUAGCCAACUGUGUAAAGUAAAACAUUCUUAUGUAAUCGAUGGUUUCUAUAAUGAAUAAAACGAGCUAGUCGCUCUCUUGACUUCUGGACAUCGUAGCGUUCUGACGUGCUAAAUUAAGAAAGAACCCUUAUCCCUCUCAUAGGUCGGCUAUUUCAUUGGCGACGAGAAGUUAAAAGUGCGCGCGUGAAGUGAUAAAAUUUCGUUUGCCGUUUCCAUUAGAAGCGCAGGCAAUUACCGGUUUAUUGCUGUGAACGUUUUAGUAGGAGCCGGUCUUUUGCGACGCUGGAAUAAGUUUGGCACGCGGUUGCGCUGUUGGCGGUGCGUCGGCCAUUGUGCUUUUGAAUAAAGCUGUUCGUUGCUGUUGUUGGUGUUGUUCCCGGCUGAUUGCUGUUGCGGAUUAUUGUUGCUGAAUCAAAGUUCUUCCCCGGUAUUGAUUUCCCCGGAUAGGUGAAGCUGCAUCUAUUCUAAAGGAUUCUGGAGUGAUACUGGUUACGGCUGCUGUGGUGUAAAGAAACGACGUGGAUUCAUCAGCAACAAACGUUAAAGAUAGCAAUCGGAGCAAAUCUUGUCUCGGCCCACAGGGGGCAGAUAAGGCUAGUCCAUAAGUCCGAACCAAGACGAAACAUUCAGCUUCGGAUGGCUGAUACUGGAAGCGUGAUGAGAGGAACGAAGAGAACGGUCCGGGAUAUGGAGGAGGACGAAUCUUCUGACGAACCGCCCGAUGUAAACGACCGCUGGAUCGAUCAACCUUGUCCUUCUAGGAGUGAAGUCCAUCCGAAUGUUUUAAUGUCUACGUCAUCGAAUGAAGUACAAGCACCUGAUGUCGAUCAGGUUGCGCCAAGAAGAUCAUGCAGAAAGAAGAAGCUCAAAGUGCGUGAAGAUUUUGUUUAUUACAAAUAGGUAUUAAUUGCAAUUUAUUGCUUUCGAUCAGGCCUUUGUCUAAUUUGAUGAAGUCGGGUUUUAUUCUAUAAUUUCGAAGUGUAAGUGAACUCAAUAUACUUUUUCAAUUGAAAUAUUGAAUAGAUUUUAGAUUAUAAACUUAAGCGUUGAGGAGUGUAAUAUCCGUUCUGAAUUGCAAGUUAUUUUGAUCCAGUGUAGAAACUGUCGAAAAUCGACGAAUAGCCAACUGUGUAAAGUAAAACAUUCUUAUGUAAUCGAUGGUUUCUAUAAUGAAUAAAACGAGCUAGUCGCUCUCUUGACUUCUGGACAUCGUAGCGUUCUGACGUGCUAAAUUAAGAAAGAACCCUUAUCCCUCUCAUAGGUCGGCUAUUUCAAUAACAUUUAAUUGAUGUUUAAUGAGCAUAUAUUAGGCAAUGUUUAAAAAUUACGUAACUCUUAAAGUGGGAGGGGGUUCUAAAAAUGUGCAAUUUCAUACGAAAAAUUAUUGUUUUUUAUAUAUACAAAAAACUACAGAGGUAAAAAUAUAUAUCAGGUUUCACGUGGCGUAUACAAAGGCAUUUUCUUUAAAGAAAGUCCAUCAAUCACGUAACGUAAAAUUUGGCUAUUUCAUCACCCCUUCCCCUAUCUUACACUCUCCUAAGUCCUAGAGUCCUAAACCAAUUUCAUUAUUUCGCUUCAGUAAUUGGUGUUCUGUACCAUAAAGUACUCUAUACAAUAGGUUAUCGAAAUGGUAUAAUGUUCACCUGACUGAACGUAUAUAUGGUCAUGAAAUACUAGUUGCGGAAACCCAAUUAUUUUUAGCAAAAUGACCAUAAAGUUAUCUAACUCCAUAUCUCUCUUGUUGUUUAUUCAAAUCGUUUACAAUUACACGUGAUAAUCGUUGGCCAGAAUAUCUGUCAAACUGAUGCAGUGCUGCUAGUUUAUCUUUUGUUAUUACUUCAAAAAAUCGAAAACGUACUCUUACCCCACGCGCACUCUUGCCCCACUCUACUCUACUCUGCAAUACUGUAUGAAAAUGUACUCAAAACGCCAAAGGUGGCCAAAGGGUAGUUUUGCUCCGGGGUGCAUAUUAUCCCAGUUUCCCCUAAUUCGUAUAGGUAAUUUAAAAUAAAUCAAUCAGUUCCUACGGCCCAGCAAAUAACACAAUUUUUCCGUCAGUGCAGCAAAU